UCCCUUUGACCAUAGUUGUAGUUUGUGUCCAGUCAGGUGUAUUGACCUUAGGUCAAUUUGUUCCCUCUAAAAGACUGUGUUCUGAUUGGUUUAGGCAUCAGUGAUCAAUAUCUCGCUACCUGGAAAGCUUUGAUACUGUAUACAUGUAUUUAGUAGAAGUUAUUUUAAAUCAUUAAUAUAUUAGUUUUAAAUGGAUGGAAUUAUUAGUCAGAGACCAUUAACCUGAAUCACAGUGUGAUAGAGCAGAUGAGUUGUUGGUGCAGCUGGUGAUGUUUUCUAUAGUGGUGAUGCAUUUAAGUCCACAACUUGGAUGCUUAGUUUACCAACCAAUAAAUUGAUAAAGGUACAAAGAGCUUGUUUCCUACACACGGCCUCCAGAUGGACCUACUUCUCAACCCCCACUAGCAGUUAUACUUCUUUAUAAUUUACAAAAGGACUUUAAGUAAAACUAGCCAAGUGACAUAUAUAUGCUUUUAUAAAACCAGUAUGAAUAAAAUCUCUGUUCAAGGUGAAACUAGCUAAAAGCUGAGAGUUACAAAUCAAAUGAGUAAGUUAAGAGAGUACAUGAAUGUAUGAAUGUGGUGCAACUGACUGAGCAAGUACAUAUAUAACACAUGUACUAUAUAUAACGCAUGUACUGCUGUAUUAGCUGACCAAGUCAGUACAUGAAUACAUGUAUAAAUGUUGAGUGAGUACACGAAUGCACGAAGUUGAGUAACUGACUGAUUAAGUACAUGAAUGUACGAAAAUUGAGUAAGUGACUGAGUGGGAACAGGAGUCUACAGAUGUUGAGUAAUGAGUAAGUGACCGAGUAAGUACAUAAUAUAUGUACGGGUGUUGAGUGAGUACAUGAAUGCACGAAUGUUGAGUAACUGAGCGAGUGAGUACAUGGAUACAUGUACAGGGGUUGCGUGAGUACAUGAAUGUUGGGUAACUGACCGAGUGACUACGUGCAUGUAUGGAUGUUGAGAAGUGGCCGAGUGAGUGCAUGAGUGUGCGGCUGUUGAGUAAGUACAUAGUAAAUGUACAGAUGUUGAGAGAGUACAUGAAUGUAUAAAUGCUGAGUAACUGGCUAAGUGAGUACAUGAAGGUACGGCUGCUGAGUAAGUGACCGAAUGAAUACAUGAAUGUAUGGUGUUGAGUAAGUGACCUUGUAAGUGCAUAACACAUGUACAGAUGUUGAGUGAGUGCAUGAAUGUACGAAUGUUGAGUAACUAACUGAGUGAGUACAUGAGUGUUCAAAUGUUGAGUAACUGAUCAAGUGAGUGCUUGAAAGUACCUAUGUUGAGUAAGUGAAUGAGUGAGUUUAUGAGUAUACAGAUGCUGAGAAGUGAGUACAUAAUACAUGUAUGGGUGUUAAGUAAGAGACUGUGUGAUUACAUGAAUGUACGUAUGUUAAGUAAGUGACCGAGUAAGUACAUAUGAGCCGUGCCAUGAGAAAUCCAACAUAGUGGCUUUGCAACUAGCAUGGAUCCAGACCAGCAUGCG
rnacentral:lncRNA from 1 species